GGAAGAUGAACACGAUGAAGAACUUCUCUUCCUCUUCUUCUCUCGCUUUUUCUCCCGCCCCGGUGUGCUUUUUGUCUUCCCGGCAGACGUGUCGCGAGACCUGCUGCGCCCCAUCUCAGGUUUUCAGGUGAACGUCUGAAGCUCCAACAAUUUUUUGGAAUUCAGUUUUGCAAUUCCGGAAGCCAGAGUCCCUGCCAAUUUGAAGAAACAUAUAUCGUGAUGACCCUGGGUGCAGAACGGGUGGGAUUGCGUAGCCAAUCGGAGGACCCGCGUCUCACCUGUGCGCUUGAUGAUUUCCCAGACUCCCCAGGGCGUGGCGGGCAGCAUGGUGGACUGGUCCAGGCACAUGCGGCC